rnacentral:rRNA from 1 species
UACCAGCACCCCGAGUGGUCGGGACGAUUAUUGGGCCUAAAGCAUCCGUAGCCGGUCAUGCAAGUCUUCCGUUAAAUCCAGCCGCUCAACGGUUGGGCUGCGGAGGAUACUACGUGGCUAGGAGGCGGGAGAGGCAAGCGGUACUCAGUGGGUAGGGGUAAAAUCCUUUGAUCCAUUGAAGACCACCAGUGGCGAAGGCGGCUUGCCAGAACGCGCUCGACGAUGAGGGAUGAAAGCUGGGGGAGCAAACCGG